rnacentral:rRNA from 1 species
UACGUAGGGGCCUAGCGUUGUCCGGAAUCAUUGGGCGUAAAGAGCUCGUAGGCGGUUCGGCAAGUCACGUGUGAAAUCUCCACGCUUAACGUGGAGGCGCCACGUGAAACUGCCGUGACUCGAGUCCGGUAGGGGAGUGUGGAAUUCCCGGUGGAGCGGUGAAAUGCGCAGAUAUCGGGAGGAACACCAGUAGCGAAGGCGGCACUCUGGGCCGGUACUGACGCUGAGGAGCGAAAGCGUGGGGAGCGAACAGG